rnacentral:piRNA from 1 species
UGCAAAAUGUUCAUUGAGGGCAUGCUCUAA